rnacentral:rRNA from 1 species
CCACUCGGCAAUGGAGUGGUUGUUCGACUAUCCGGCCCCGAGUAGCCGGCCUGAGAGGGCGACCGGCCACACUGGGACUGAGACACGGCCCAGACUCCUACGGGAGGCAGCAGUGGGGAAUAUUGCACAAUGGGCGAAAGCCUGAUGCAGCGACGCCGCGUGAGGGAUGACGGCCUUCGGGUUGUAAACCUCUUUCAGCAGGGAAGAAGCGAGAGUGACGGUACCUGCAGAAGAAGCGCCGGCUAACUACGUGCCAGCAGCCGCGG